GGGGGAUCAGUGAGGGAAAUGGGAGGAUGGGAGGGAGAGGGGAAUGGUAUUGAUAUGUAAAAUAAGAUAGUUUCUAAAAUAAAUAAAUAAAUAAUAAUAAAAGCAGUUCCUCCAUUACUAUGGUUGGAAACAGGUUAGUGUCACUGGGAGCUGAAACUUCUAGCCUUGGAGGGCUUGUAGUGGGGGGGGGGUAGAAUUUCAAGAAGAGUAUAUAGGAAGCUGUAAAAAUUGCUGGAGAUGUUUUAAACAUGCCAAAGCAGAUAUCUCAAAUAUGCUGAAAUUGCCAUGGCAACUCACGCUGGGGCCAGAAUGUCAGUGGAAAGCAAGCUUCUGAGAAUUUCGGGCUCCUCUGCCUCUUCAGCCUUAGACCAGGUGACUGCUUCAAGAGAGAAGAAGUCAAGAAAAUGUUUCCUUUUCUUCAUUGCCACCCACUCCAUCUCCCUCAAGAUGGAAAUACCUCCUGGCUAGGUUACCCAUGCCUGGACGUGCCCUCUAGCAAAGGAAAAGGGAUUGUUCUUCAUUCUUAUUAUCUCUCAUACCAAAUGUGGAGGUACCCAGAAAGCCAUGGAACCCAUGAGUUUGUGAGCACACUUACUAUAACCUUGGGAUGUCUUGAACCAUGGAGAAAGGGAGGCUGGCUGAUGUCUUCAGAUGUACCCAACAAGAAGUGACAUAGAUGAACACAGAAGAAGACUCGGACACAAUUGUCCUUUAAGUUACAUAGACUAACAUGGAAUAAGAACCCAUCAUGUGUAGAAGGUACAAGUGCUCACAGACAAGCACUGGAGAAAUCAGUAAUGCUAAUCACGCAGGAUUGUUUCCUCAAUGCAGGAAAUGAAUACUGGCUUUCUAUUCAGAAGGCUGAGGGUGGAUGUUGCUAAUAACAUGGUGACCUUUGCUAUCUGUAGAGCCAGGGCCCACCCAAAUCCCCCAGAAUGUUUAUUCCAAACUCUCCCUCCCUAGACCUUUAGCAUUAGCUUUGUUUCAGCCAAUAGAAACUAUUCUUAGGGGAGAUGUCACGUGUACUUUAUAGCCUUAUGUUCUCUAUAAUUUCUGGGUCAGAGACCACACCUGAUCCUGAGCCCAUAAGCUAUAGAACCCAUCUUCAUGAUAGAGGUCACAUGUACUUUGCAAAAGAGUGUCAGUGUGGUCAUGCCUUAAGCUUUAUUUUGCAUGUGGAACUGGGAUAAUGUUACCAGGAAACUUUUUUCCAUAACUGUACUGGAUUUAAAUGUGUCUAGAAUUAAACUGGUCUGGGGUUAGACUCGAGAAGUUUGCACUUGCCCAAAUAAGUCAUAGUGGAACCAGGUUUCCUUUCUUCCCUUUUGUGGUUCAUUUCCCUGGGGGCUGUAGCAUUUGCAGGGACCACUACCACCACCACCACCACCAAGGUCCACGUGGUUCCACAUAGUACUUCAUUUAGUACUUAAAGAUUGUUUUAAUUUGAUUCUACUCCUAUGAAAAAGGCUGAGUUUUACUUAGGAAUGAGCUCCCUCCCACUGCUACUUUUCUAAGUUCAUGUUUACAGUUUCCAUGCCGUCAGUACAUAAAGACUACUUUGCGUGAAAUACUGUAAUAAAUUACAUAUUGUAGCAGGAAGUAGAAAAAUUGUGGCUAUAAAUUCGCAAUCCUUCAAUACAGUUUGCAAUUUCAUAGGAACCAAAUUAAUACCUCAAUAACAGUGCUCACUGAACAAUGGUCAGCACUGAUAGACAGGAUUCUAGGAAUACAAGUCUACUUCUUAUGGAAAACUUUUUUCCUUUUUCAUUGUUUGAGAAUUUCAUACACACAUACAAUGUGUUUUGAUUUAAAAAAAAAAAAAAACACUUCCUGAUUCCCUACCCCUCAGUUGCUCCCCUAUUCUCCCACCACUGUUUCCGCCUGUCUUAGUUCGGGCUUCAAUAGUAACCCUAACUAAGGUACCUCGUGACUUCAUGUAUCCUUUUUACUUAACUGCCGCUUGUAUGUGCAUGCAUAUAGGACCAUCUACUGAAUCAUGGGAGCCUCUCAGGGACUACAUCUUUGGAAAUAUCCUUUUCUUACAGAAGCCAUCAAUUGCCCAAAACUCCCUAGCUAGAGGUGAGACUUCAUAAACCCCUCCCCCAUCCAGGACAGGAUUUUGUCUGGUUUGAUCUGGUGACAGUCUUGUGUAUACAGCCACAGCCACUUGGAGUUGUUGGGUGCAAUGGCACUGUCAUGACUAGCAAACACAGUUCCCCAGCAGACUUCCACUACCUCUGUCUCUCGCAAUCUUUCUUUCCCGUCUUCCUAAAUAAUCCUCAAACCUUGUGGGGAGGAAGUUUGGUACAGCAGUCCCAUUUAAAGCCCAGUACUCCACGGUCUUUGUUCUCUGCACUUAGACUAGUUGUGGGCCUCUACUGAUCUCCAUCUACUUAAUCUUUGAUGAGGUUUGAGAGGUACACAACUCCAUGGGUAGAAAGAUAAGAAAACAGGGAGAAGUUUAUUUACUAUGUCCAAUUAUCAGAAUAGUGUUAGUUUGUUCUCCCACCCCUGGACCUAGGACCUAGACAGCCAAGUGAUUUUGGACAAGUUAAUGGCACAAGGCAUGAGUUCUAUCUUGUAGAGUAGGCUUUAAAUCCAAUCAAAAAUGGUUGAUCACUUCCAAAGCAUCCAUGCCACUAUUGCACCAGGGAGCAUGUCUUGUCAAGCCAGUCACUAUUGCAGCUCAUAGCUAGGUCAGUCUUCUCUGGUAGCAUGCCUAGAUCCUUCUAACACUUUGGAAGCCAGAUAGUAGGGAUGGAGCUUCCAGGGCAGUACCAGCAUGCUUUCUCCAUGUUCCUUGACUCAAGUACAUGAUUUUCUCAGCAAUAGUUUCUCACAGUUAAGUUCUGCGAGGUAAAUAAGACAAAUGGCAAUAGCCUAUAAUAGUGGGAGAUAUAUGGGAUACAACUAGACAACAACUCCAAAGAGGUAACCUAUUUCAGUCAAACAAAUUAUUUUUAUUUGAUAGUAUUUGAUGCCUAGAAGGAGCAUUAACAGCACCCCCCCCCAUUAUGAGGUAACUGCAUUUAAACUUAUAUUUGUAUGUGAAUAUGUUUUAAGAAAUAUUAGGUUUCCUCAAGAAUUGCAUCUAAGAUCUUUAGUCAGUCCACCCUCUUCGUAUACUUACUCUGCCUUCAUAUCCCCCUCCUCAUUUCCUGUUCCAUCUCCUCCUUCAUAUCACCCACACAGUCUGCCAUCCUCCCCUUGAAGUCUCUGCAUUGCCCCCUUACUAAUCUUCUGUCUCCUCUGGUUUUUCUAAUUGAAAUAAACAUAUCUAAAGGCCUAAAACUAGAAUCUACAUAUGAGAGAGAGAACAAGUGGUGCUUGUCUUUCUGGGUCUGAGUUACCAAAUUCAGAAUUGUUUUCAGCUUUAUACAUUUACCUGAAAAUUUCAUUUUCUUUAUAGAUGAAUAAUAUUUUCAUAUAUAUAUAUAUAUAUAUAUAUAUAUAUAUAUACACACAUAAAAUCACAUUUUCAUUAUGCAUUCAUCAGUUGAUGGAAAUCUAGGCUGUUUCCGAUUUCUGGCUAUUGUGAAUACAGCAGCGGUAAAGAGAGUUGAGCAAGUACCUUUGAAGUAGGAUAUUGAACCCUUUGGGAAUAUGUCCAGGAGCAGAUAGCCAGUUCAUGUGAUAGGUCUAUUCUAGGUUUUUGCAGAACCUCCACCUUAGCUUCCAUUCGAAGUGCCACAGGCCUAUCUAUAAUUUCAGCACAUGAGUGAAUAAAACAGGAAGCUCUUAAAUUUUAGACUGGCCUAAGCUAUGUAACACAAUAUCUUGCCCCCUGUAAAGUUUCAUGUAUUAUUGCUUGGAGUUUUUGUAUGUGUUUGUUUUUCAGACAGGGUCUUUUUGUGUAGUGGCGGUUGGCCUGGAACUCACAGCAAUCUGUGAACCCAGAUGUACUUCUAAAGUUGUGUGGGACUAACUCCCUAACAAGUAGGACUGGUAGCAAGCCAGUCUCAGCCUCUGGAGUGUCAGAAUUACAGGGAUGGAUGGCCACACUAGAUGUUUCUUUUAAGCUAUAUGUAUACACGACAAAUUCUAGUAGGAGUAAAGCUUCUUAGGCUUUCACUUCCUGUCCCCAGAUGCACAGCAUUUAAAGUGUGUUGAAUAUCCUUCCAGACCAUUCUAUGCAUUUACAUAAAGCUUUGUACAUUUUUUUCCUCCUUACUCUUGUAUAUCUUGGCAGGCAGAAGAGAUGGCUCACUUGGGACAGUGCUUGUCAUACGAAUGUGAGAAUGUGAGUCCGGAUUCCUAGCAACCAUGUAAAAAAGCAGCUUGGCUGUGUACAUCCUCAUCCCCAGCUUUGAGGAAGCAGAAACAAAUGUAUCUCUAGAGCUCAUCCAGUCUAGCCAAAUCACUGAGUUCUGCGUUUGGUGAGAGAUCCAGUCUCAAAAAAAUAAUGCAGAUCUGGGGCUGUAGCUUAGUGGUUAGAAAUUAUUAUCUAGCAUGUGUGAGGUCCUAGGUUCAAUCCUCAGAAUGGCCAAAGAGAAAUGGGCAAAAGGAAAUAAGAAAAGAAAGUGGAAAUUUAGUGAAGAAGAUGCCUGGCAUUGACCUCUGGCCUCCAGAUGCACCCACAUACUCAGGUGCACAUAUGUAUGAACACAUACACAUGUAUACACAAAUUACACACACACACACACACACACACACACACACACAGAGAGAGAGAGAGAGAGAGAGAGAGAGAGAGAGAGAGAGAGAGAGAGAGAGAGAGAGAGGGAGAGAGAGAGAGGGAGAGAGAGAGAGAGAGAGAGAGAGAGAGAGAGAGAGAGAGAGAGAGAGAGAGUAACCUUUUUAGGAAAAAAAUCUUACUAGAACAUAUUCUGAUAUAGUCUUCAACACAUUGUCUGCAAAUGCUUUUGUGCUACCAUACCAUAGUUGAGUAAUUAUAACAGAGGUGGUAUGAUCUGAGAAGGGUAAAAUAUUUACCAUCCAUCCUUUACUGAGAAAGUCUUCUGGCCCUUGCUUUUAAAGACUGCCUAAUGUAUGAAUGAAUACGUCAUAACUGAACAAUUUGUUCUUAGAAUACACAUAGAUAGGUGAUUUUAGUGUUAUAUCAUUGAAAAAAUACUGUGGUUAAUAUAUCUUUUGUCCUCAUGUAUGUGGUCAUAUCUGCUUAAGUACCUAGGAAUGGUUAAGCAAGAAUGCCAAAUGCUUUCCAUUGACAUAUUUGUUAGUCUGGUGUCACCUGCAUCAGUGAUGUUAAGGAAGCCAGCAGACUUGCCAACUGAGUCUCAAUGAGGACUGCACUGCUGGGAGAUGGAAUGAGCAGCACUGUUUCAAAGAGAAAUAAGUGGGGGUUGAUUUCAGCCCUGCCCCCAGAAUGAAAAAAAAAUAAAAUAAAAGGCUUGAGAAAAAUACCACAGGAGCAUUUGCUCCUGCAAAUGUUCCUCUGUCCUGACUGUGAACUCCUUUUUACCCCCUUCAUACACAUUUGCUAAAAUGGAGGCAAGCACUGAAUGGGACCACUGAAACCACUGCUUUCAGGACAGCUGUGUAGAUCACUGUGGGCACCAGGAUUUGUAAAGACAGUUUUGCCUGAGUCUGGCUUUGCUGACACAACCAGUGGCAAUGAGGCUCUGGGUUCCAUGGUCCUUGAAGACCACUUUGAGCCUUUAAGGUGGAAAUAGAAAACUGGAAUCCACAAGCUUUGAGAAGAAAGUCAUCCCUGGGAGGUCCAGAAGAGUCUGGGAAGAGUUCAAAUCUGUGCUUUCACCUGGAAAGUUAUGUUUGAAAGGAAAAGUACGGACACAUGCAAACAAGAACCUGACUGCUGGUCUAUCUACAGGCUCACAGCCCAGUGGAGGGAAGCAGACAGACCUGCCGUUCCCAACUUCUAACUACCUUUUUAAAAAGGAAAAGGCACGGUGCUUGACAGGUGUCAGACAAUGUGUGAACAACCAGCUCACAGCAGUUCAAAGCUUCAGCACUAGAUCACUCCACUCCUUUUGUUAAUGUCAUGUCUUUGUAAAGCAAAGCUUUGGCAGCCACACUGCUAAAAAGCAGAUUCUGCACAAAACUCAGUUGUAAUAGGAAAUGAGGACAGCGCCAUUCAAUUAGACUCCAGGUUCCAGAAGCUGGGCGUACUCAAUGGGUGUACCCCGCCCCUCCAAUGAGUAACGGUGGUCAUUUGAGAAUGAGAUUUGACAUUUCUUUCAUGUGCGUUAACGUUUCAAAAGACUACUGAGCUGUGAAGCCAGAUGUACUUAUAAUGUUGUGUGGGACUAACUCCUUAACAAGUGGGAGUGGUAACUACUUCAUUUGGCCUGUGUGCCCUUAGGAAAGCAUCACUGUCGCAGGAAGAGCCUUGGAAAGCAGAAGUGUCUGAGGACUUCUGAGAUGGAAACUGUGAAAACAUUCUAAGCAUUAAGGGAACCAGAAAAGUCUGGGAACUUCUGAGAUAAGCACUUUACACUACUUACCAACAUUGUGACCUUGAGAAAGCACUCCACAAUGAGCUCUGGGUAAGUGCAAGCACCUUAGGGGCCACCGUGGAGGUCAAGUGAGCUAACACAAGUGAUGCAUUUGGUCCAGGAUUUGGCACACCAUCAGCAAUGGAUAGAACUCUGUAAACCUACAAGAUCCCAGACUAUCAAUGAAAAUUAACAUUUAACCCUAAUCCUUCAGUUUUUAAAGCUUGUUAAGCCAGUAGCUUCUCCUAUAAAGUGCUGUUGCCAUGGCACCGGCUGUGAUAAUGUGGUGUCAAUCAAGUCACUCUAAAAUCUGGAAACCACAACCCCCAAGGUUUGCCACGGUAUUCAAAUGGCUUCACUGACAACCCUUUAAUAAGGGUUUCUUCCCUGUUCACUUUUUUUUUUUACUUUUCUCUUUGGUGCUGGGGUUCUGAAGCAGGGCACAUGCAUGCCAAGCCCAUGCUGUCAUGAGGCUACACUUCAAGCCUCGGGGAAAGCCUCCUUACGUUAAUUCAAAGACAUGAUUUUGUUUGGUUAAAAGAGAGAUGCACUUGGUUAACUCCAGUGAAAAUGUUAAGAUAUAAAACAAAUUGCAUUAUUGUCUUGAGUUCCUGAAAUAUUUACAUUUUUAAAAGUGCUUGUGGUUUUUAUAUUUCAUUUUCUUUAAGUCCCAUGGUUGUGUUAUGAAUUGUUACACUACUCUGCCCCAAACCCCAGGAUGCAUGAAAAAGAGUCGGUUGCUCUCUAGCCAGCCUUUCCUCAAACACAUUGAUCUUAGCUAGUUUCAUCAUACUUUUGACUUGGCAUAAGUCUUGGGAACAGAAAGGGACAUCCAGGGACAUGGCACUUCUUGCUGGGCUUCUCUUUACUCAGAUAUGCACUUACAUAGAAUUAGAAGCCAGAGUGCUGCCGCAGGACAACUGCCCAGUCCAGCAAAGGAUAAGGUCCACGACGAUGUCACGUCCUGGUGGUGAGAAGCCCACCUGUAUGACUGUUUUCCUUUAAUGAGUCAUGCUUUCAAAAAAUAAAAUCCUUUCUUGGAUGUACUUUCUGUCAACCUAAGGGAUUCUUUUGAAUAUUAAUUUCUGAAGUCAGGUAAUCAGCAACUUCACAAGAAUAUCACAUUCUCUUCACAUCAGUGGUCCUCAACAUUUCUACACAUUAAAAUCACCUGGGAUGAGAGGAACGGGGGAUUUCAAACCAUGAAAGUCGUUGGAUUCUAUUCCUGGGCCAAUUAAAUCCAAGUCUCCAGGGCUGAGACCUAAUCACACUUAUUUAAUUUCCCAAGUGACUCUAGUGUGUAGGCAGAAUGGAAGGUCAUAAGUAUAAAUUAGUAGGCAGGUUAUUUUCUGUACUAGCCCUGCACCCACAAAGAGAACUCAGUUGUGCAAGAGGGACACAAUGAUGUCUCUUUCAAUGUAGAAAUGUAUUUUUCUUCCCCUCAAUUAUGGGUCAUGUUGGCUGUUUGAGCCAAGAGUUAUUUGAGCUUUUUCUACUAUGUGAUUUGAACACUGCAGAUACAAGUUUUGCGUGUGUGUGUGUGUGUGUGUGUGUGUGUGUGUGUGUGUGUGUGUGUGAGAUCAAUACAUGACAAAAAUCAUACAUGUAUAAAUUUCUAAACUGUUUCCUUAAUCUUCAUCACAGCUGUAUAUAUAACAGUGUUGUAGAUUAUGUUCAAGUGGGUACAAUAUAACAUAAAAGGAGAGCAAGAAAAGCUAAAUAGUGGGGUAUGAGGAAGGACUGAAUUCAGGCAAUGAACAUGUUAUGAAAGAACAUAAAGCUAAUUGUUUUUAACUGUCGUGGACUUUCUGGUUUUGGUGGUGCAUAAUUACAUAAAAUAUAUUUUAUAGUAAAAGUGCAAAAUCUAAUGUGGCAUCCCUAAGAGACACAUCAUCACAGCAAAAACUUCCUGUUCCUUUGGCUUUUACAAUCUUUCUGAGAUGAUCCCUGAAUCAACAUGGCAGCCUAAACAAGACCAGAACAAUGACAGCACCAAUAGACACAUUAACAUAGAAUGGGUAAAUCUCAUGGGGCUUCAAUCCUAGACCAAGAACUACAGGCAACUAAGGAAUGUUGAGAGUGGGGAGAAAUAAGUGUUUCCACCAAUUGGUUAUCCAAUACCAUGAAGUCGGGCCUGAAAUCAUACACAUAAAAUCAACAUUCCAUGGAGCAAGAUUUCGUGAACACGUGUGUGUGUGUGUGUGUGUGUGUGUGUGUGUGUGUGUGUGUGUAAGCAAUUAAAGAAAAGGAGGCCAUGAAUUUGAGGGAAAACAAGAGGGGAAAGGAAAGGUAAAAAUGGUGUAAUUAUAUUUUAAUUCUAAAAAAUAAAAAAAAUGUUAAAACAAAAAUGUCCAAUGUAAAGCUCCACAGAUUCCAUGUUAAAUGGCUAGUCUAACUGCAUAGUUGUAUAGUCUUUGUGUAUGGUUAACUUCAUUGUUCAAUGUUUCUUUAUUUGAAAUUUUUUUAUAAUGAAGUUUAAAAUAAAAAAAUUAAAAAUCUGUCACAAAAUUCCAAGAGAAAGAAAACUACUUAGCUUUGUUCUAGUAACCCAUAGCAUGCCAUUCACCUGUAUCUGUGUCUUAAAAAAAAAAAAAAAAAAAAAAAAAAGGACAGAGUGUCUCUGCCAUGGAUGAUCUAGACCAAUCAAAGCUGGAUGCUUCUGAGAAUCCCAGGAGGCCUUGGGGUACCCUCUCUGUCCCUUUCACCCAACUUCCACUCCCCCCAUACAGAAAAUACCAGUCAAGCAGAUGGUUUGAGUGUGCUGCCCUGGAGGCUAACAGAUGUGAAUUCUGAUGGAACAAGGAGAAGGACAGGCCUUUCUGUCACUGCACCCAGCCAAGCACAUAGUCUGCCCCACCCCCACAAACAAAUUCUGCUUCAUGUGGCUGACUUUGAACAUCUUAAGACAGGGUCAAGGGCUUCUGAGUACGGGGAGAAGUAGAAACUGAUAAGUAAUCUCAACAUCUCAGGAAAUUUUAAUAGGCAAUACUUCCUGUAGUUUAAGAGUCAAAUGUGAAUAAGUUUGAGGUUUUAAAAGAAAACGGAGGGCUCAGCACUGAACUGUCACAGAGAAAGAAACACUUAUUGCUACUUGACUCUGUCUACUGUCCCAGUGUCCCUCCAUCUCCCUCUUUCCCUCCUUCUCUCUACAAAGCAUGCUUUCUCAUAAUUGGUCCAGGCCUGGAGAUAUAUAUACCCUUUAAGCAUCAGUAAUUUCCUUUUAAUGAAUACCUUCAUUAUUGUGGGGUCACUUCAUCCUUAGCAGUAGAUUUAACAUGACUCUGAUCAUCAUGUAACAACUUAUAAUUAAGUUGACACUUAGCAGAAUAGUGGUUGGUAAGGGCUCAGGUCCAGUGUUUCCAGGUUCUAGGCCUUUUAUCUGAAGAAUUAAAAAUAAGGACUCACAUUGACUUUCAAAAGUAGUGAGAUAGCUUUUUUGAAGUAAAGAAAUAAUACAGAUUACAGAAGAAUACACUGCCAAGACUGAGAACAAGCCAUGUAAGUGAAGGGACCACAGGGGUUGUCAGAGGCUGCUGGCACCCCACCUUCAUACAGCAGGGGGAGUCAGUGGCUGCUGGCACCCCACCUCCAUACAGCAGGGGUUGAGAAUGGCUGGCGUCCAGGACACACAAUGGGGUGCUCGUUUACUCCUGAUUUUCUCCAAAAGCUUUGACAGUUAUUAUUUAUAACAUUCAUAACUUCUACUGAUGGAAAUAGGCACUCUCUGUUCUAUGUUUUUAUUUUAAAAUAAACAAAUUUAAAGGGCAAGGGAGACUACUCAGCUGGUUCAAGUGUUUCCUUUGCAAGCAUGAGGACAUGAGUUCAAUCCCUAAAGCUCUUUGUUUUAAAAAGUCAGAAAUGGUGGAACCACUCGAGAUGUCAGCAGUUUGGAGGUAGAGACAAGGGGUCCCUGGGCUUCCUGGAUGGUCAGUCUUGCUUACUUGUCUCAACUUUCAGGCCAGUGAGAGACACUGUCAGAAAACAAUGUAAAUUAUCCCUGAAGAACGACACCUGAGGCUCUUUUCUGCCCUUCACAUGCACACAUGUAAAUACUCACCACUCAAAUAAUGUGUGUGCCCACAUAAAUAUACACAUGCAUGCACACACAAACACAUGAGCUUAAUUUAGACUUACAUGACAGGUAACUUCUUCCUAGGACUAGGCUUAAAAGCAGUUGUUCUGCUUAUAGAAAUUAUAUUUAAUUGGAAUUUACUCAUUGCAGUGUAUAAAUUUUAAAAAGGGCCUCAAAUAUGCCAGAUAUACCACCAAUUGUGGACACCCUCAGCCCCUCAAUUAGUAUUUUAACUGUAAUGCUCACUAGUGUUAUACUUUGGUUACACUUACUGUGAAAUUUACUUCAUUUUGCAUAAGAGUCACAAGUAGAUUUAUAUUUCUACACCAAUGUAGAGAUGCUGUGAGCACUGGGUUUUACAGGUCCUCACACCCGGUGGUCAACUUUGAGAAAUGCUGGGCUCGGAAUUCCCACCAUAUCAACGGUUAACACUUCCACACUGCUGCAAGGACGAGGGUAGAUGCACAUCACUUCCUGCCCAGGCCAGAAGGCUAACAACAGCCAACUAUACUUCCUUUCCUGUCUCCCCAGCAUGGAAGAAGACCCUCCUUUUUCCAGAGAUGAUGCUGUGCACUAAAUCUACCUCUAAGUGCCCUAAAACACCUAACAAGGCUCUUCAGAUUUUGUUCGUGUUCUUCAAAACUGUGGGUAUGGUGUGGUAGGACAUGUCUGACUGUAUUAGGCGUGUGUUUUCUACACACAGAAGUCAUCAAGAACAAAAGGCACAAGGUUAAAUCAAGGACAAGAGUAAAUGAUACAAUCCAGAGCUGUGGUGAAAGCACCAGCAGCCUGAAGUAAGACUCUAAGAGACCACAGGUGUCAGCUCAGACUACUAUGAGCAAAACCUUCAAUCAAAAGAUGGAGAAAAUAAGACAUUCUGUGAUAAAAUUCAAAUUUAAGCAAUGCCUGUGUAUAAAUUCAGCCUUAGAAAAGGUGCUAUAAAGAAAAUUCCGACUGAUGGAAGCAGAGACAGACAUCCACAGAUAUACACUGAGCUGAAAUUGGGAAUUUAGUUGAAGAGAAAGAGGAAUGAAGAGUGAAGGGGUCUGUACCAGGUUGGAGAAACCCACAGGAACAGUUGGCCUGAACAAGGGAGAGCACAUCGACCCCAGAUGCUGUCUGGGAGGCCAGUACAAGACUGAUCCAGACCCCUGAACAUGGAUGUCAAUAAGGAGGCCUCUACACUCCAGGGAGCCUCUGGUCGUGGAUUAGUAUUUUUCCCUGGUGCAAGAAGGGACUUUGAGAGCCCAUCCCACGUGAAGGGUUACACUCUGGCCCUGGACACAUGGAGAAGGGCCCAGGACCAGCACAGGAAGAUUUGGUGGACUUUGCAGAGUCCCCGGAUAAAAAUAGAAUCAAUUGAGAAGGAAAAAAAUGAAAUAAAAAAAAAAGCUGAAAAAUUGAAACAGAUCCUGAAUGAAAAAUGGAUGGGCUUAUCUGUGCAACUGGAAACAUUAACAGUGGGCAAAGAGAGAGCUUGCCCACUUUUUUUUGAGGUUUUUGAGAUUCACCCAUUUUUUUUUGCAGUUUCCCUCAAAGGAAAGAGUUGAGAAACAAGUCUUUGAGAGUACACACAUGGAAUCAUCCCUCUCUGCGCUUGACAAGUCCCUUAAUUCUCAGGGAAGAAGACAGAAAAUAGAUUUAGAUUUUUCUCCACUAUUAAAAU
ensembl:lncRNA